ACGCUGGCGGCGUGCCUAAUACAUGCAAGUAGAACGCUGAAGAGAGGAGCUUGCUCUUCUUGGAUGAGUUGCGAACGGGUGAGUAACGCGUAGGUAACCUGCCUUGUAGCGGGGGAUAACUAUUGGAAACGAUAGCUAAUACCGCAUAACAAUGGGUGACACAUGUCAUUUAUUUGAAAGGGGCAAUUGCUCCACUACGAGAUGGACCUGCGUUGUAUUAGCUAGUAGGUGAGGUAACGGCUCACCUAGGCGACGAUACAUAGCCGACCUGAGAGGGUGAUCGGCCACACUGGGACUGAGACACGGCCCAGACUCCUACGGGAGGCAGCAGUAGGGAAUCUUCGGCAAUGGGGGCAACCCUGACCGAGCAACGCCGCGUGAGUGAAGAAGGUUUUCGGAUCGUAAAGCUCUGUUGUAAGUCAAGAACGAGUGUGAGAGUGGAAAGUUCACACUGUGACGGUAGCUUACCAGAAAGGGACGGCUAACUACGUGCCAGCAGCCGCGGUAAUACGUAGGUCCCGAGCGUUGUCCGGAUUUAUUGGACGUAAAGCGAGCGCAGGCGGUUUGAUAAGUCUGAAGUUAAAGGCUGUGGCUCAACCAUAGUUCGCUUUGGAAACUGUCAAACUUGAGUGCAGAAGGGGAGAGUGGAAUUCCAUGUGUAGCGGUGAAAUGCGUAGAUAUAUGGAGGAACACCGGUGGCGAAAGCGGCUCUCUGGUCUGUAACUGACGCUGAGGCUCGAAAGCGUGGGGAGCGAACAGGAUUAGAUACCCUGGUAGUCCACGCCGUAAACGAUGAGUGCUAGGUGUUGGAUCCUUUCCGGGAUUCAGUGCCGCAGCUAACGCAUUAAGCACUCCGCCUGGGGAGUACGACCGCAAGGUUGAAACUCAAAGGAAUUGACGGGGGCCCGCA
rnacentral:rRNA from 1 species